AUGGCAGCCCAGGGCUAUGGCUAUUAUCGCACUGUGAUCUUCUCAGCCAUGUUUGGGGGCUACAGCCUGUAUUACUUCAAUCGCAAGACCUUCUCCUUUGUCAUGCCAUCAUUGGUGGAAGAGAUCCCUUUGGACAAGGAUGAUUUGGGGCUCAUCACCAGCAGCCAGUCGGCAGCUUAUGCUAUCAGCAAGUUUGUCAGUGGGGUGCUGUCUGACCAGAUGAGUGCUCGCUGGCUCUUCUCUUCUGGGCUGCUCCUGGUUGGCCUGGUCAACAUAUUCUUUUCCUGGAGCUCCACAGUACCUGUCUUUGCUGCCCUCUGGUUCCUUAAUGGCCUGGCCCAGGGGCUGGGCUGGCCCCCAUGUGGGAAGGUCCUGCGGAAGGUGAGUGCUUCCAAAGAGCCUGUUUGGAUUGUCAUAGAGGAUGCCUAAAGAGCAUGUGGGAGCGCCCCUUCUUACCCACCACCUCCACACCGAACCCAGAGCAGGUUCCUGAGCGGUUCCUGGCCAGCUCCUAUUGCUUGUCAAGAUAUUUUAGGAGGCUGAGAGUGGUGGGGUCAGGUGGCAGAGGAGGAAACUGCCCUGCCAAACAGAAGCGCCCUCUCCCUCUUCCCUGUAAUGUGAGCUUCUGGGGCUGCCCCACCUGACCCCACCCUCAACAUGGGCAGUAGGCUGGACACCUAUGUUGUCGCCCUCUGCCCCACAGUGGUUUGAGCCAUCUCAGUUUGGCACUUGGUGGGCCAUCCUAUCAACCAGCAUGAACCUGGCUGGAGGGCUGGGCCCUAUCCUGGCAACCAUCCUCGCCCAGAGCUACAGCUGGCGCAGCACGCUGGCCCUGUCUGGGGCACUGUGUGUGGUUGUCUCCUUCCUCUGUCUCCUGCUCAUCCACAAUGAACCUGCUGAUGUUGGACUCCGCAACCUGGACCCCAUGCCCUCUAAGGGCAAGAAGGGCUCCUUGAAGGAGGAGAGCACCCUACAGGAGCUGCUGCUGUCCCCUUACCUGUGGGUGCUCUCCACUGGUUACCUUGUGGUGUUUGGAGUAAAGACCUGCUGUACUGACUGGGGCCAGUUCUUCCUUAUCCAGGAGAAAGGACAGUCAGCCCUUGUAGGCGGGACUGUCCAACUAUGGGAACCCUCGCCAUGGCCUGUUGCUGUUCAUGAUGGCUGGCAUGACAGUGUCCAUGUACCUCUUCCGGGUAACAGUGACCAGUGACUCCCCCAAGCUCUGGAUCCUGGUAUUAGGAGCUGUAUUUGGUUUCUCCUCGUAUGGCCCCAUUGCCCUGUUUGGAGUCAUAGCCAAUGAGAGCGCCCCUCCCAAAUUGUGUGGCACCUCCCACGCCAUUGUGGGACUCAUGGCCAAUGUGGGCGGCUUUCUGGCUGGGCUGCCCUUCAGCACCAUUGCCAAGCACUACAGUUGGAGCACAGCAUUCUGGGUGGCUGAAGUGAUUUGUGCAGCCAGCACAGCUGCCUUCUUCCUCCUACGAAACAUCCGCACCAAGAUGGGCCGAGUGUCCAAGAAGGCUGAGUGA
rnacentral:sRNA from 1 species